GUCCACUUAGAGCAGUGGUUUAGCUCGCUGGUUUCCGGUUGCUUUUACCUACAAGCCAGAAGUCUUGGGUUCGAAUCCCAAAGUGGAUG